ACCAGUGUGGCAUAGUGGUUUGUGUUGGACUUUUGACUCUGGAGACCAGGGUUCAAAUUCCUGCUCAGCCA